rnacentral:rRNA from 1 species
UGGGGAAUCUUGCACAAUGGGGGCAACCCUGAUGCAGCGACGCCGCGUGAGCGAUGAAGCCCUUCGGGGCGUAAAGCUCUUUCGACCGGAACGAUAAUGACGGUACCGGGAGAAGAAGCUGCGGCUAACUACGUGCCAGCAGCCGCGGUAAUACGUAGGCAGCAAGCGUUGUUCGGAGUUACUGGGCGUAAAGAGUGCGUAGGCGGUUUUCUAAGUUCGGUGUGAAAUCUCCCGGCUUAACUGGGAGGGUGCGCCGAAGACUGGGACGCUGGAGUGUGGGAAAGGCAGGCGGAAUUCCUGGUGUAGCGGUGAAAUGCGUAGAUAUCAGGGGGAACACCGGCGGUGUAGACGGCUUGCUAGACCAUAACUGACGCUGAGGCACGAAAGCGUGGGUAGCAAACA